rnacentral:rRNA from 1 species
AACGAACGCUGGCGGCAGGCUUAACACAUGCAAGUCGAGCGCCCCGCAAGGGGAGCGGCAGACGGGUGAGUAACGCGUGGGAAUCUACCUUUUGCUUCGGAAUAACUCAGGGAAACUUGUGCUAAUACCGUAUGUGCCCUUUUGGGGAAAGAUUUAUCGGCAAAGGAUGAGCCCGCGUUGGAUUAGCUAGUUGGUGGGGUAAAGGCCCACCAAGGCGACGAUCCAUAGCUGGUCUGAGAGGAUGAUCAGCCACACUGGGACUGAGACACGGCCCAGACUCCUACGGGAGGCAGCAGUGGGGAAUAUUGGACAAUGGGCGCAAGCCUGAUCCAGCCAUGCCGCGUGAGUGAUGAAGGCCCUAGGGUUGUAAAGCUCUUUCACCGGUGAAGAUAAUGACGGUAACCGGAGAAGAAGCCCCGGCUAACUUC